rnacentral:lncRNA from 1 species
UUUUUUUUUUUGGUUUUCUCUUUCCUGCUAGCGGUGCAUGCAACAGUAGGCUGGCUCGGGUAUUUGCCCUGCACAAUAGUACCUGCUGGGAACCCAGCAGGUGAGCCGAACCCGGCUGGCUCUCUUAUAGGUGUUUGAACUUUCCUGGUUCUGUUAUUUGCACUUUUGCGCCAGGACACUUUUUUUUGUCCUUUUGUUCGAUGUUCCGUUAUCUAGUGGAACCCGGUUCAAUAUGGAUCGAAUAUGAAACAAAGACCAUCAAACCGUUUACUUGCACAUGUUUUUUUUAGUUGUUCACCCGCACACAUGCUAGGAUGAAAUACUUUACUUUGUGAGCGAGUACGCGUGAGUUCAGCUAGCUACGAUCUCAGAUCUGGAUCUUGCCCGGCUGUAUGGGUAUCGCGUUGUGUUGGUAUACAUACCCUAGCCAUUUAACGAACGAAAUCAAUGGGUCAUUAGCGUCACACCAUCNNNNNNNNNNNNNNNNNNNNNNNNNNNNNNNNNNNNNNNNNNNNNNNNNNNNNNNNNNNNNNNNNNNNNNNNNNNNNNNNNNNNNNNNNNNNNNNNNNNNNNNNNNNNNNNNNNNNNNNNNNNNNNNNNNNNNNNNNNNNNNNNNNNNNNNNNNNNNNNNNNNNNNNNNNNNNNNNNNNNNNNNNNNNNNNNNNNNNNNNNNNNNNNNNNNNNNNNNNNNNNNNNNNNNNNNNNNNNNNNNNNNNNNNNNNNNNNNNNNNNNNNNNNNNNNNNNNNNNNNNNNNNNNNNNNNNNNNNNNNNNNNNNNNNNNNNNNNNNNNNNNNNNNNNNNNNNNNNNNNNNNNNNNNNNNNNNNNAUAGUCCUCUCCUCGAGUACUAGUACUACGUCGCGUGCCACGCUCGGUGCAUCCGUGCAUGCAUGGUCUGUACGUGCAUGCAACAUCGCCACCUCCGUAUGGAUCUCUCUUUAAUUUUCGUCAGCAAAGAUGAUCCGUGCCCGUGCCCAGGAACGUGCUGUCCUAGCAAGCCUCGUGGGCCCACAGUAUCUGUACGAGCGAUCUUAUCAGCGGCGCUCCCGAACGGACGGCGAGAUCUCCUCCCCGGGCGCCAUGUCACCUCGCCACCGGGUCAGGGAAUCAGGAUAGCCCUAUCCGGAAGCGGCCGCGUGGCGCCCUCCCUAUGGGCCUCCGCCGCGCGCAGCCUCUCCCACACAAACCUCAUCGACGGCCAGCCGUUUCAAAUCCUUAACAGCAUCCACGAUCUAAGCGUGUGCACGUACGCCGCAGCUCCAGAACCAGGACACGCCCACUGUAUACGCAGUCGCACAGCUCGAUCGCAAUGGCGUCGCUCGUCGCCGUCCAGCCGGUCGCCGUGAGGGGCCUGGCCGGCAGCUCCAUCUCCGGCCGCAAGCUCGCCGUCCGGCCCUCCUCCGCCGCCGUCUCCCGCUCCACCCGCAGGUACUUUACUUUACACACGACUUAAUAAACAUAUGACACACCAUGCACGCACCGAGAGCAACAGAGCGUGACCAGCUCCGGCACAUGGACGCAGGGCUCGCGGGGCGGCGGUGGUGGCCAAGUACGGGGAGAAGAGCGUCUACUUCGACCUGGACGACAUCGCCAACACGACGGGGCAGUGGGACCUGUACGGCAGCGACGCCGCGUCGCCCUACAACGGCCUGCAGAGCAAGUUCUUCAACACCUUCGCCGCGCCCUUCACCAAGCGGGGGCUGCUGCUCAAGGUGCUGCUGCUCGGCGGCGGCUCGCUGCUCGCCUACGUCAGCGCCACCGCCUCCCCCGACCUGCUCCCCAUCAAGAAGGGGCCCCAGCUGCCGCCCACCCCGGGACCACGCGGCAAGAUCUAAAGCUCUGCAAUCAAGGCCUUCUUCCUCCUCCCGCCUCGCCUCGUGCUUGUGUACCAUGGAUCUCGUCGAUUCCCCCCUUAUCUAUGUGCUUGCUCUGUUGAUACUUGAUCUUUGUACUUUGUAUCAGUAAUUGGAAAGAUGCUGCGUGCAUGGUGCAUGCAAUUAUUAGAUCAUGGUUUUUGUACCAUGUUUUUGCUAUACUGGCGGUUUAAAUUACUUGUCACUCUAGCCAAUACGUAUUGUCCGGCCGGCCGGCCUACUCACGGCUCUACGUGCACAGCUGCACACGUACAUACUCCCUCCGUGCGUCGAAACUACUGUCCAUUUUUGCGACAAAUAAUUCAGGACCGAGGGAGUACUUACUAACAGUUGCUGCUGCUGCCGGCGGGAAAUUAGAUCUUAACACACUUGUUUCGUUAAUGUCUGAUAAAUACCAUCAAUCAUGCAUUGCGUCGGCGAUUUAUGCAAAAAUCCAACUGACAUUAUAACACUCCUAGAAGACACUGGAAAGGAUACGCUUAACAAGCAUUGCAUGGAAAACAGGGUCUGGAAGAGGUCGAGGUUAACUAGUAUAGAAGUGGGCUAGAAAACUACAUGUCCAUUUGUCAGGCUCAAGUGUGAAAAAUCUCAUGAUUAUUUAGCUCAUGUAGAACAGGGGGUCCACUCUUCAGCAGCACAUCAUCUUGGCCUCCGCACCAAAUUUCCAUUGGGGGUCGAACGCAAUGGAGAUACAGACAGGCGUCCGAAAGCUUACAUAAACCUCACAAGUCACAGUGCACCUUGAUCACAAUGCUCUGAACACAUAUUUACAUCCAUUUCACUCCGAAUGAUCUGGCACAUAUGUCUUCCCCCACCCCACCUCCCCGCCACCCCCGCAACCCCCUACGGCAGCGUGCCACUAGUGUCUAGAUAUGGGGCUCCGUGCUCCGCCCAGGUUCUCAAGCUUGUCCAGGUAGGAGUACCUCUUGGUGCCGAUCUUGGAGAUCUUGCUCAGCUUCUUACCUUGGGGAUCCUGCGACCCUAGUAUCAUGGUCUCGAUGGUGCCGUCCCGGGGCCCCACGUAGUCGAACAAUGUCGAGUUAACCGGCUCCAUCCUUCCCAGCCUCCCCAUCUCGUCCUUGGCGUCUUGGACCACUGUGUCUGUGUCGUCGGUUGUUAAGCUCGGCAUCCUCAUUGAGUCCCCAUUCUUGGGGUCUUGGGCGAGGGCGUCGGCGUGGAGAACGUCUUCGAUGCGGGACAUUACGGUGUAGGCUAGGCUCUCAAGCGUCCUUGAGUAGCUCUCCAGAAUGGCACUCCCAACAUCCUGCAAAAACAACACGGAAACACAAAUGUAUGUAGUUGGCAUUAGUAAUUAAAAGGGUACUGUAGCAAUUCCGAAAACACAGUGAAAAAUUGUAGGUACCUUGUUGUACUGGAUUUUGCUGAUGUCCAGAGCUGAUUGGGAAAUCCCUGGAAAUCUGUGCUUGAGGAGGAGAAGAACGUUCUCUGCCCUCCCCUCAAAUCGGCCCCGCUUCUCGUGGCUGACGCCAUGGCCCCACUUGCCGUCCCUCUGCAUUUUCUUUUGCCAAAUGACGACCGAUGCUUCGAUCCGGUUCUUCAGAUCAACAAUGUUGUACUCGUUCGACAGGUCUACCGUUGCUAUGAGUUCUUCGGGGUCGAAAUAAUCGUCAGUUAUAAGCUUGUACAUCGAGUCCCCGAGGGUAGAUUUCCCAUUCUACCAAGCAUAAGAAUAAGAGGAUUUUGUUAUGUGAGAUCACAAUAAUGUAGUCAAGCAAGGUAAAUGUAAUUGCUGUAUAAUAACGUCCUUGUGUUCUUAUGGAUUACCUUAGGCAGAGUCUCCAUGUAAGCUUCUGGAAUAUCCAUCUCCAUGAGAACAUUAGCAUUGAUGGCCAUUGUUGCCUUCAAGACUUGGUUGACAAGCUCCUUCUGGUGAUGAAGCCAUCUCCUCGUCGAGUCUGACAGACCCUCGGGAGGGACCUUGACCGUCGGGAGCCACCACUUGUCACUCUGCUCCGCUGGGUCACCCUUCUCGGAUUCAUUGUCAUUUUUCUUCACAUACCAAAACUCCUGCUUGUCGCUGAAACUAUCGAGAUAGUCCUGUUCGACAUCAGAAACGUGCAGCGGCAACAAAUUAGCAACUCAGGUAUCUUCACAUCAAUCCCGUAAACAAUUCAGAGAAGGGUGUGGAAUUUUAUAUUACAAGGAGCAUUCCGUCAAGCUUGCGCAAUGCCGGGACGUUCAUCAGCAGAUCUCUGCGUUGCUGAGUUAUCAUAACCUGCUUGUCAAAAAGAAUAAAAAUGUACUAUUGUAAUUAGUUGUAAUUCGAUUUGCAUAAUGAGGUUGCAUAGUACGGGCCCUAAGCAAGGCAAAAAAAAGUGUGACCGCCUAUAAGGUUCCAAUAGGCACGUCCCACAUUGUACUUCUUCACUAGUUGUGCAACUGAAAUACUUUUCCCACAAAAAAAAACUGAAAUAUAAUAACAAAAUAUUUUUUCUUUGUAGGACCUCCAAAGCAACAUAACCAACCAUGUGUGAUGAAAAUAAGGGUAGGGGAUUCGUUUCUGACCUCCAUGGUGCUGCCAUCCUCGGCCACCUGGCGUGAAGGAACGAACUCGACGAUGAAAUCGGCGACGGAGAGAAGCCAGUCGAUCUCCUUUGUCCACCGAGCCUUCUGCUCAGGGGCCAUCGGUUGGAGACGCCGCUGCUCACCGAACACGGAAGCUGCAACGGCGUGCCACCACGAGAAGGAAUACAUAACUGGUAAGAAUUUCCACAAGAAACCAACCACGAAUUGAAAUGAUUUGAAAUCCAGAAAUCAUGCAUCAAGCACGUGAUAGAGCUCCCGAUUUAGUCGUGCAUGUACCCAUUGCGAGGUCUACGAUUGUAUGGUGUACAAAAAGGUUGUUUUCUCAUCCGCAAAAAAAGAGAGGAUGUUUUCACCAAUUUCCACUAAAUUAUUUUGAGGAUCAAAAUCAUUUAAGCCAUUACUUUUGUUUGGAAUUUGUAGUGACAAGUAGAGUAUAUACUAGUAGGCCAGGUUAUGCACAUUGUGCACAUUGGGUGAUGUACUCUCAUUUAUUAGACCGAUUUUUUGACACACCAAAAAUUGCUUUAAUUUAGCUCGCACUAGCAGGGCCAGCCGUGGACACCAUUCACGAAAUGGAAAGGGAAAGAUUUGAUACGAAAUUGAGUGAUUAGCUGCUAGAUUGGUGAUGGCACAAAAAUGGAAACAUAUAUUGGAAAGAAAAGGGAGUGAUUACCUGCAAGAUUGGUGAUGGCAUUGGACAGAGCAAGAGCCGAGGAGACUCCUUUGCCGCUGCCGGACAUGUCCUCCCCCAGCAGCAGCUUGGAGAACUUCUCCUUCACCAUGUCCAUGUCUGCAACCGAUCGACCACCACCGGAGCAAUUCAUUCGUCGAUCGAACAAGGCCGCAUUGAUCGACCACGCUAGCUAGAAAUCAACAGUGAUCACGCACGCACGCACCUGAUGGCGGGCCCUCCGGCCGGGGCGCGGGCUUGGGGGGCGGCGCGGCCGAGGUGGACGGCCUGGGCGCGUCGGACGGGCCGCCGGCGAGCGGCGCCGGGAUGAGGUCGACCGACAGCUUGCCCCUGGACCCGCAGCUGCUCCGGGAGAGCAUCCGCCUGGCGCACGGCAGCGUCUGGGUCUUGGUCGACGGCUCCAUCGUCGGGCUCCCAGGGUCGAGGACCACGUCCUCCGACGACGCCGAGGACGACACCGACGAGAGCGGCGACGAGGGCGUCGACGACGCCUUGCCCGACUUGCGCCGCCUGAAGGAGAACCUGGAGUCGCGGCCGUGCCCGGUCUUGAGGAACGGUGGCGCCAUCACGCGCUCAUCGCCGCCAGUCACCACCGCAUUACGCACGCACGUACGCCGACGCACGCGGGCCGGCCGAGGUCAGGCGGGCAGAGAGAGGGAGGGAGGGAAGGGAACGCCGGCCGUCCGUCCGUCCGUCCGUCCGACCUCGCGCCCCCGCGCGCGCGAGAGAGAUGGGAGGAGGGAUGUCCGGUGGCUGGCUGGCGCGUGGGCGUGGCUGGCUGUCUGGCUAGAUUCGGGGGAGGGCGGUUUUGCGAGGGAGGCGAGGAGAGGAAAGGGGGGAGGCGAUGUCGCGCGCGGCGUGCCCGUGGAUGAUGGAUGGCGCGAGCUGCAGGCGCCGCGGGAAAUGGGUCCGUUUUGUGUGUGUGUUGUGUCGUCCGUUUUAUCGUUGGGGGUGUACGCUGCUAUUUUUAAUCUCACUCGCCCGUGGUUACUUUUCUCCAUCUCGGUUGGUGCUUAAUUAGCACGUGCUGCUCUUAGGAGUACAGCUUAACAGUACUUGGGGUCGCAUCACGGUGAACUAUAAAAGCUCAGUGUUUUUAAGAUGUGAUGGCUUCUUUUUUCGGCCCCUCUUCGAGCACCGGGGGAAACCCUAUGUACGAUUCAUCGGAUUGGACGGUGACAACGUCACGGUACUGUUUUCAUUCACGAAGGCGGAGCGAAGACAAUUUAUAGUUUCAAUACCAGGAAACUUAAGCAUUUCACAAAAGAUGCAAGAGGGUUUUUCUGGGGGGCGCUACAAGCUGGUUUGCAAAUUGCGCGGGUUUCUACUCAUUUCUGAAAUAAGGACGUCUUGGCAAAGAUGAUGACAUGUUGUGUGAUCGUACACAAUAUGAUCAUCAAGGAUGAGAGAAUAUGCCAAGCCCCGUCGAUUAUGAAAAUAUUGAGGCCUUGUAGGUACACAAACUACUUUCAAACAUUGCUUCAGCCGUACCGAAAGAUUGAAAACCGGGCCUCCUAUGAUCAGCAAAAGGAGGAUCUCAUUGAGUACCAUCGGCAACUAGCUGAGAGAUAGUGUUUUUUAAUUCCUUGAAGAUUUAUUUGUUUUUACUUGAUUUUUUUCAUUUGAUUAUUUGUUGUAUUGAGGUUAUUUGUUCAUUUGCAUUAUUUAUAUACGUAUUAAUGGUUUCUAAUAAUAUGUGUUGAAUUGUGAAUUGUUUGAUCUAAAUUGGAGGAGCCGAGUAUAUAGAUGAAAAAAGAAAUAAAUGUGAAUGGUGCAUUAUGGCAACUCUGUGUUUGUGCACAGCCUCUGCAGCUUCCAGAAAAACUAUGGAGCGAGCUCCAUAUGUGCCGUGGAGGUUGUGAAUAUGCUAGAAUUGCUCUUAGGCUAGCUUUUAUCCAUGUGUAGUGUAAGAUCAACUCUUGCAGAGUAGCCAAACUAUGCGCAAACGUAAAGUCGUCAUAUGUGGCUUCAUAUUUUUCUUUGGUUCUUAUGUGCACUCAACGACAUUUAAAUAUUAAUCCGAAAAAAUAAACCAAAUUAAUAAAUAAUCUGAGACAAAUUGUUCAAGUAAAAGUAAAUGAAUUUUAAGGAAAUGUAAACACCAUAUCGCCCAGAUAGUUGUCACUUACGCCUUUAUGCAACUAGUCAUGGGAGGCCCAGUCUUUAAUCAGCCGGUACAUCUCAAGAGAAGUUAGGAUGUGGUUUCUCGUGCCUGCAAGGCUUGAUGGUUUUGCCAACAUUUUCAAAGUCGAUUAGGGUGGGGGAGGCUUUUGACGUAUCCCUCUCAUCCUCGAUUAUUGUGUUUUUUAGGAACUGUGGGCCUCACCCCUGUUUCCGAAAACACGUGGGCAGCAAGAAACUUAGGAAGAAAGUAGAGUAAUGCAAGGAACUUGACUGAAAAUUUUCUUAGUUGUAGAUGCAAGUACGUGGUAGUUUCUAGUGUACAUAAAAAUGUGUUGUGCCUAGUUCUAUGUGCUGCCUAAACCAAAAGGCAGGCCCCGGGUUCGAGGGUUCUAGGUAUGAGGGCUCUCGCGACGCUCGCGGUCCAGUGACCGUGCGGCCGCCGCCGACCGGAUCUCGCUGCUCUGGCCUCCUCCGCCUCCGUCGGGCCUUGAUCCAGAAUCAGCGAGAUCUUCUCCCUCACCUGCCCUCCUUCAACCCUGCAGUCAGCAGCCUCCGCCAUUAGGUCGUGUGGCGAUGUGAGCAUGAGCUCUUUGUCGACGUCCCGGCCUUCUCCGGCGGCGGAGUCCCCGGCCUUCACCUCCGUCUCGCCGCCCAAUGCUCUCGGAGACGUCCACUGGCCGCUGAUGUCUCAGCUCGUCAUCCCCGCUUGUGAGGGCUCCGUUCUGGAUCUCGAGAUGCAGCUGCCUCCUCCACCGCACGCCUUCGAGGUCACUUUGGCCCCUCCGGAGCUCCUGCUGGAUGGGUCACUGCAGCCUGUGCCAAGCCCCUGCUCGGUUGUCACGACCGUUGCGGUUGGGGAGGAGCCAUCUCUCCCUUCGGGGCUUGCUCCGGCGCGGCCAAGCUCCCGGAGCUCCAACGAGGUGCUCGCCCCCGACGCCGUUUUGCGGGCCCCGCAGCCGCCGCUGGCCGUGUCGUGGGCUUCCCUCGCCGACGACACCUGCAGCAUUGAAGGUGACGACGAGCUCGCCCCACUGACGCCAUUGGCUGCCAGGUGCUCCAGCGGGGUGAGCCAUCCGGCUGCUGCUGCUGUUGUCGCUGCUGCUCCUGAGGCGUCUUCAGAGCAGGGAUGGGUGAAGGUUGGUGGCCGGUGUCGUCCGGCGCCGCCGGCCUCGGUUAUGGCUCCCCGGCCUAUCCCUGCUUGGCUCCGAGUCGCUGCUGCAGAUGCCUAGCCUCUGGGCACCGUGCGGCAGUCUACAGAGAUCCCUUCUGAUGCUGUCGUUGUUUGCAGAACGGUCAUCGUGCUCGCGACUGCCACAACCCAUGGCGUCCUCUCUGCUCGCUGGCAUGUCUUACCACCCCGCCCGUCUCUCGCCUCGACACCCAGCAUCGUCAACCUCCUGCUCCAAGAGAGGGCCGAAUGAAAUCCACGCUCCCUUCCAUUGCGAUUCGUCGUGGAUCUUGGGCGUCUGUGGUUUCUGCUUCCGCUAGCCCGACAUCCCCAUCCAAUGUGGUGCUUCAGAUCGCUCUGGCUGACCAGACUGAGUUGCUUCAAGGUUGGCAGGCACGAAUUGAGAGCUUCCUAGAGCGAGCGGAGGUUGCUUUGAGCAGGCUCUCUCUUGUGCCGACUACAUUGCUGGCCACGCAGACGCCACAACCUCUUGGUGUGGCCGUUGUUGACUACAUGGAGGACGGAGGGGCAGAGCCCUAUGGUUGUUUCUCCCCCUCGUGUUCGGGAAAAUUCAUCGUCGAUGUCUGCACCGUCAAUUGUGGUGCCUACCGUUGUGGGUGACUCCAUUGCCGUGCUUGCGGCUCUGGUGCUGCGGCUCAUGCCCGAGCUUCGAGAUAUAUGUUUGAGCCCUGCUUCACCUCUGUCAUUGAAGCGGUUGGAGGUGGACUCAUUGGCGACUUUGUGUGAGGGACAUGUUUCGCCUCUGUCACGUGAGCAACUGGAGGCGCCGAAGUCCAUUAUGUCUAUGGUUCCUGUGGUGGAGGAUGUCAUGUUGGGGGUUCCUCGGGUCGACGAUGUCGAUGCGGAUGGUUUGUUGGUGUCUGCCCCCAGGAGCCCCUUGGUUGACGAUAAUUACAUCAAGAAGUACAAUGAAUUCUAUGACUUUCUUGACAAAUGGGUGGCUGAUCAAUCUGGAUCUGGCAACACAAAUGGAUGCCUCCUCAAGAAGAAACCCAAUAGGGAGAAAGCAAAGAGAAACAAAAGCAAGAAGGGCGGCGUUAUCUGGAAGGUGCCCGCAAUUUCAUGAUGGAGAGUGCUUUGUUUUUAUUGUCGUCGGUGUUCUUGUGUGAAGCUCCGUUGUGUUGUGCAAGUGUCGAAGGUUGCGGUUGUGGUGCACUGGAAGGGCCACAUGUGCGGUCACGGUGUUUCUUGUUGUGUGAGUAGUACGCCUUUGGGUUGUUUGUAACGGUUUUCGCCCGGUUUUCCGAAAAUUAACUAGGCAAUUCUCUUCUUCUUAAUUAAUCGAUGAGGCAAAUCUUUUGCCUCCGUUUCGAAAAAAAAUGUGUUGUGCGCCUUCGUGGUAGUAGUCCUGUAAGUGUCAUUCCCGGGCCCUAUAAAUGAAGACAUGCAAUCUAGCUUAAAAAACCACUAGUAGCACUGCAUGAGCAACAUCUCUAGUGUGUGUGCACGUGAGUGUACAACUCUAGUGUUCGUCUGUCUUAAUAGAAACUAGAUCGGCAACGCGCCUUGGCGCGAGGGUGCCGGUCCCAAUGAUAUGGUCAAGUGUUGGAAGAUCAAACGGCAUGAUGCAUUACUUCGAGGCAAGUUCAACACAUGUAACAUGAGAACCAAUUAUUUCACUCUGUACCAGAAGAGUAACAUCAUUAAGUUCAACUGUUCAACACGGCCACGACCACCUCGACCCGCCGCUCACUCUUGUGUUGCAGCAGGGUGCUGCAUCCAAGAAGGAGCAUGCUACAGCGGCUCCUCUCGACACUCGGAAGGAUGCAUCUUACACACAUCCCGGCGAUGGAGUCUCACUUCUGCACGAGAUCAUGGUCCUUUGAUGCGGCCUAGUGGGGAGGCAACGAUAGCUCCGUCCGCCACUCUCCUCUCGAGGAUGGCGAGAGGCAAAGCUCGAUGGGGAAUGUAGUGGCAGCGACGAGCUCAGCGACGAAAGAGGAACUGAGAGGAGGGGCGGAAGCACGGUGACGGUUGCACGAUGGGGAGUGGCGGCUAGGGUUUUUUCCAAUCAGGGAAAUGUGGACCAGCAAGAAGAGAAGACAACCUCCUCACCCCUAUCCGUCUUGCAGCCAUCUACACGACACCACUUAGCACCCAACACACGAAAUCACAACUCUAUGGGCUUUGAGAAUUACCCGCGGUGGCUUCCUUGUUUGACACUAUUUCAAUCUACAAUGCUCAACUUUGAUCCUACGACCGAGGUCAUCCAGGAGGCAGAUCCGAUGGUCGAGAACUCAUAAAAAAACACCCGACAGCCAGGAAUUUCUAAACUCCGAGGAGCCAAGGAUUCUCCCAUGAGUCUUGUGUGCGGCUUGCCACACCCCACCUGUGUCAUCAAUAUCCAACCUACUAAGAUAUGGUUUAUAUUCCGAAGGUUCAGAAAAAACUAAAAAGAUCCAGAGCGCCAAAGCCCAUUGCAUGCAAGUGUUGCCCAAAGGAUGAAGGUUCAGUAUGAUAUAUUGAAAGAAAGCCAUAAUUGAUAAUUCAUCUCACUAUUAUCUCCGGAUGAUGAGUCACUGAAAUAAGAACAUCCAUCAUAGCUACACAUUAUUCUGUCCUCAUCCAGAAUUGUAUUCAUUGGAAUUUUAUGACAAACUAAAUAUUUUCAUCAAAAGAAACUGUAUAAAAUUCCAAACGAUGGUCUUGAAAACUGCAUAUAAUUCAAGGUGCAUCCUUAUUCUGAUAAGGAUGAAAAAUAAGUAUACACUGAAACUCUUGUAAAAUACAGAUGACCAAAAUUAAAAGAUAUCAUAGAUACACGUAAUUCAGUCCUCACGACACAGAUUGUGUUCAAAAAGAAUCUCUUUGAUCUUGCAGCAAAAUAGAAUUUCAUACCAGUAUAAAACAAGGGAGGAAGAGAGACUAAAGUAACAAACCUAAAUAUAGCAAUAUAUUUUCAUAGCAGUAACAACCCAAGCAAUUAAAAUUUCACACUACAAUAAGAAAUCAUAAGCAAAAAGAAUUUUACAACAGAAUAGGAGAUUACAUAUAGGCAAGAGUGCAAUAAGCAGGGGGCAAGGGAAAAGCACACAUACCUAUCUGGCAGUGUGGUGUGGGGUGGCAGGGAGGGCGACGACGGCAGCGGCGGUGGUGGCAACCAAGGAGGCCCCCGUUGGUGUUGUUGUCGGCGAUGUUCUUCUUUUGGUCUAUCUCGAUGGCAUGCUCCACACUGCAAAGUAGUUGCGCGAGUAGUGGCCUGCACAACCCUCUCGGUGAUGGCAAGGAGAGAGCCGGUGAGGGACACAACAGCGUCCUGCAAACCAAGAUAAUGGGAGGACCAGUUAGAGGGACAUCCCAAAAUGAGGUAGCAUUUGACAACACAAACUUUUGAAGCCCUUCAACUACACCAAAUGGAAUCAAAUGAUGAUGCUAAGCACCAUACCAUGAUCGGGAACAUGGUUCUGGUGUUGAUGCACAUUGUAGCAGAAGUCACCACUGCAUAGGUCUAGACCAAAAAAAGCUCUUGCUUGGCCACUCGGAAACGUCACCACCCAACCAGGCUGCUCCUGAAGAAAGAAACCCAAAUCAUAGCUACAUCAGUCGAUAUCACACAAUGAGAUAGUUUUAAGAGUACUCUAAUUUUAAUAGAAGUAGUGUUCAGAUAGACAUAUUCAGCAACUCUUAAUUUUAAUAGAAAUAGUGCCCAUAUCUAAGUUUGGAUUGUUCAACGGGCACUCUUAAUGUAUGUUUUAUCAUGGUCCAAAUGAAACAUCGAUAUAAACCAUAUAACCAAAACCAUUUCGUUUUCUAAAAGUUAUAAAGAGAAGGAAAUGGCUACCCUGUUACAAUCCAUCAUCUCAUCAUGGAACAAAGAAUAAAACAAAUUAGAUGCCUACACCGGAUAGUAUGCACGUUGGCUAUACCAAAUCAUUAGAGACUAAUUUUUUUGAAAGGAUGAAUAAGAAAAACAGUACACCAGUGUGAAAAACAGAACACAUGUGUAGUUGGAGAAAAUCUAGCGUUACAUAAUAAUUGAGUACUCCCUCUAUAAACUAAUAUAAGAACUUUUAUAACACUAAAGUAGUCAUCUAAAUGAUCUUAUAUUAGUUUAGAGAGGAAGUAGUUGCUAAGAAGUUUCAGGUUUAUUAAUCACACAGCUAAGCCUGCCUUCAUAAAUUGUCCUCCACCAAAAUACUCUUGCUUUAGGAGAUUAAAAAGGAUAGAUGUCAAUUAGUGGUGAUCCUGCCUGGACUGCAUGAUACACCACCUCAUUAUUAUGGUGCUAAGCUGAUUUCCAUGCAAUGGUCUCAGUUCUUAUAAUCCUCUAAUCUUCAAGUAAAAAAUAAUGCAUACAUAGUACUGAUGUGAGCAAAUGUCUCCAUGCCAGCUCCCUCCAUGGGGAUAAUCUUGCACAUGAGGUCACCUCAAGCAAUGUAUUGCCACCAGCAUAACUGAAGCACUUGUUCAUGGCUUUAGUUAUGAGAUAUGCCGUUAGCUGAGAUAGAAAUCACAAAUAGGUCAGCUCACAAUCUAAAGAAUAUAAUCUUAUCCAAGAAAAUAGUCAUCAGCAUCAAAGCUUUAUUUAGUUCUUUACUAAGAAAGCAAACUUACAAAUUACAGCCCAAACAGAUAAAUAAAUGGUUCAGAAUAAGCAGAGGUCAAGGUACUUACAGUGAGUGGAGCACAACGAGCUAGACGUCGUUCCAGCGAGAUUGAUAGGGUCGGCAAUUUUGAUUUGCAAGUUUCGGCCGAGGGGCUUUAUGGCACAGAAGAAGGGCGAGCACUCUGUGGCAGCAAGCUGCGUCAGUUCUCCAACCUGGCAAAUCACGACUGCUACUCUGUUCUGCUGUUCGUGUUGGAUGACGAAGGGGUGAAGACUCGGACGUGGUGGGCAUGGACUGCAGCACAAAUUCGACAGCCAACAUCGACGGGACCACAUCUCUGAAGUAAAAAAAAUUCACAAGGUCAGGUUGUAACUCGACAGAAGUGAACAUAAGAGCAAACAAAACAUGUAGACAUUAAAAUUGAUUAAUUUGUAUUCUGUCUUGUAUCACUUUGGCCAUCACUUUAAAACGAUUUCCCUUCGACCAUAGUAGUACUUGACUUCAAAGAACUAACACUAAUACAAUCGGAUCUAUGUAGUUUGGAUGAACACCAACACAUUUAAUUAUUCGUUUAACAUCUAAUUGAGAUAAAUUUAAUUUAGACCUAGAGAUCAAAUAAGAUUAAUUAGAGCGCCAAGUGAGCACAACACCAGCAAUCCUCCUCCAAAACCAUGACCCAAAUGGUAAGAAUUUUAUUGCUUUUUCCUCCUCAUUCUGGCAAUCAUUCAUAUUUCUUUCAGAAUUAAUGAUCACAGGGGAUUCUUUCAGAAUUAUUCAGAUUUCUUUCAUAAUUAAUGACCCCAGGAGAUCACAGAAGAAAAACAUAUGUACAUCAUUUAUGUAAUAUACAUGAAAGGCAAAAGUUCAGAAUGAUACAGUUGUAUCUUAUUUACCUUGUAAGAAAAUGGAGUAUCAGCUCAAAUAAUACCCUGAAACCAUUGCCAUGUCAGGAAUGGCAGUCCAGUAAGAAUUAGAGCAUUCUGUAUAGAAAGCUUUGAACAUUGAAUUGGGCCAGAAAUAGCAAACUAACCAAUAUGCCCACGCAAUGCCGCUCCGACCACGGCCUCUCCUGCCCCACAUCCAUGUUAUGCUCCCUUCCCCAUUGUUUCUCUCCUUCCCCCGACUUUAGCGAGCCCGCCGAGAUUGCCACGCUCGUCAUCUUGUGAAUCAGUUUGAUCCAAGAAUCAAGAUCACACCAUUAAAAAAAGGAGAUGCUCUCCAUUUUAGUGCACACAAGCGUAGAGCUUCAAAUAUCUCACCUUCAUGAACCAUAAAAACAUUACUUGACUGAGUACAAAACAGAAGAGCAUAACAUCUGCAGUUAAUCAAGAGAGUGGGGCUACUAAUAAGCAUGGAUUUUCAUGUACCAAAUGAAGAUUCUAGAUUUAUUAACUUAACAAAUUACCAGUCCUAAAGGUCGAUGCAGGUGCAUGGAAACACAUUCCUUACAACAAUUGUCCUGAUGCAGAAAAACUCACAGGUAUCAGUCACAGUACAUGAAGACAGAAGCAAUAAAAAAUAGCAGUAUAAAAGGAAUCUUGAAAAUCCAUUAUAAAGGAAGAAAAUUUGGUCAUGAAUGCACUGGUUGCAGCUUUCGUGCUAAUUGUCCGUUGUUGUGACAAAUAAAGAUAAUGGCAUAUUCAAAAUGAGAGCUAAAAUUAUUACUGAUUUAGUUCUAAUUCCAUAUAGUAAUUAAAAUGAUGCGGACUACUUGGCAUUUUAGGAACUGGCCACUGGAAAUAAACCCAUAGGGUCUCGGGUAUUGGUUGUCGGACAUUAUUUCUACAUAUGACUUUUCAGCAAAACCAAGAUAUCAUCAACCAUUACUCCACUAAACAGAUAGGUUAGUCACCUUUAGGACAGAUUGUGGUUGCUUAUGUGUGUCAACAAAUUACAAUUUCAUAUGCAGGAGUGGGUCAAUUCAAGCCGUUAGCAAGCAGUCACAUGGCUGAUUAAAAAAAUAUAGUUAUGUCUAACAGAAUUUUUAUGGACCAACUAUACUCAAUCCACCAGUCCAGGCUAUGGUAUAUCUAUCCAGCCUAAAUACUCACAUAUAUCAGCCAUGAGUGGAAGUAGUUGACAACAAACUAUGAUCCUAGAAAGUACGACUAAAAGUUUGUCUAUCAAUGUAAAAACAAAAACACAUUUGUAGAUCAGCAAACAGAGGAGAUGCCAACAGUGAAGUAAAACUUCAUCAAGAAUCAUAUUUUCAGGGGAGAACAAAUAGUGCAGACCUUGCAGUAUAACUGUAAAAAGUAUUGCUAGGAUGGCUGAAGACAGUAAAAGCCUGAAACUUGCCAAUUGUAAACAAACACGAAAGCAAGACACAUCACAACAGAAGUAGUAGUACAACUCCCAGAUCUCUGGAACAAUUUUCGCUUUGUUAUAUUUUUGCUCCGGAAAUAUAGUCAAACCCUCACUUCUAGCAGCGCAUAUAAGCAUAUCACUGAGAUAGCGAGGGAAAUGGCGGGCAAAGGAGGGAGCUCAGCGAGAGGAGGAAAAUGGGGAACUCACCUUGGCCUUGGGACCGCUGGUUGCUGCCAUGGAAGAGCUAUGAACCAUGGAGCAGUCACGUACGCGUCUUUGAUUGUUUGUUGCUAUAAUAUACCAACAAUUAGUACCCAAAAUAGAUAUUCUAGAUGGAGACUCUGCAAGUGCACUUACCUUGUCCAAGUCCAAUGCUUUAUGGCUCAGAAUUCCGAUAGUAGACCAAGUUCCAUCAACCUCCAUAAUAACCAAAUCACCGAAUCCACUAUCUAUCUUAUGGUUGUUUUCCAAUAUUUUUGGCUCCUUGUUCUCACACAUUAUUUGUUACAGUCAUCUACUCCCUCCGUUCCUAAAUAUUUGUCUUUCUAGAGGUUUCAACAAGUGACUACAUACGGAGCAAAAUGAAUGAAUCUACGCUCUAAAAUGUGUCUAUAUACAUCUGUAUGUGGUAGUCCAUUUGAAAUUCCCAAAAGACAAAUAUUUAGGAACGGAGGGAGUAUGUUUUUAACAGCCACUACCUGCAAAAUAAAACGGUCACAUUAGUUGCCCUAUCAGUUAAUAUUGAGACAGAUUUACAUGCAUACUCACCUCAUGCAUUUCCAAAGUUGUGCAGUUAUCCACUCCUUGACCGCUAAUUAGAAACUGGAAUCUGGUGACAGAUGAGACAACCAAAUUAAUCUAGCAUUUAAGAAUGGCGCUUUGAUUCACAGAACUGCAACCACAAUAGGCAUAAAUCUCCACUCUCUUCAUCCAAUGAUCAAUCCAGCUACCAUGCCUAGCUAUGCUGAUGGUGAUCAAAUUCAGAACCCUCAUCAUCUCCUAGAAGCAGAAAAAAAAAAAUCAAACAGACGCUAUAUGCACGGAAGUUUUGGCAAGAUAAAAGUUUCAGGCCUAAAUAUGCUUCCCUCAAACUUUGUUAUUUCUGAAAAUCUGCAUUUUACAUUGAAUAAAUAUUACAGUACACGACUUAUCACAGGCAGAGAGGAGUGCAGAUGAGGGGACGGGGCUGAGCUAACCUCUCGGCAUAGUGGAACAGGCAGAGGUAGAGGUAGACAGGACGAGCGUCUUCAGCUCAAGCGACUGCACCACCGCGUUCUUGACCGCCUGCACAGCAAGCACACACGCGCGCAAUUCAUUCGCCGGAAUCCGGGUGAGAAGACACAAGAAGAGAGGAGGGGGACGGACCUGCGCGAUGAGGGCGAGGAGGUGUAUGAGCACGUCGAAGUUGUCGUCGUCGGAGUGGGAGGCGAGGAGCACCGAGACGGCAGCGUCGCCGUAGAGGUGUGCGUUCGUGGCUCCGUGCCCAUCCGCACACCAGCCGUGAUGCAAUCCACUUGACCUUGACGGAUUUGAUGUGAAGGAGACGGGGACGGCCAGGAUCCCUUCGUUGCCGCCGGCGUCAGCGGCGAGUGUGUCGAUGGUGAGGCUGCCGCUCGCCACCUUCCGGUCGCCUUCCGGUGCGUGCGGGAUGUGAUUCCACUACUGCUGUGGAGGCAGCCGUCGGGCUGCUCCUCCUGCCAGAGGAGCAGCCGCGGGAGAUGCGGACAGGAGGGCGGGCCGUGGCGAUGGAGAUGGCGGAGCGCUCGCCGCCGCCGUGCUCGUCGCUCGUCGCCGUCGCCCAAGGCCUGCUAUUGUGCCACCUUGGCCUGCCGCUGCUGCUCCCCGCCGCCGCCACCGUCGUGCUUCGCAUCCUCCCUCCGCUGCUGCUCGUCGUCGUUGGAAGGGGGGCUCUACUGCGGGGAUCUGGCUGCCGACGGCGCGGUUCGAGGCGGUGGGUGGCGGCAGCGGCGAUGUGGGUGGGAGGAGGGGAGGCGCGUGGGAGGGGAGGGGAGAGGAGGCGCGCGCGAGGGGAGCCGACUAGGGUUUUUUCCCACGGGAGCCGCCCCUUUUAUACCACCCCUCAGCGAAAUGACCAAAAUGCCCCGGUGGGGGCACGAUAAUUACGCGUGGUGGCAUGAACGACGAUAACUAUUCAUUCCAUCAGUAACUUUUUUUGAUCCGACGACGAGGUCGCUCCAGGGGUCGAUCCGACGGCCCAGAUCGGAUCAAGGCACUAGAUCCGACGGCCAGGAACCCCAAGCGGCUGAGGAGCCGGGAGGUUCACUGGCAUUCUUAUUACUCGAUAUUUCUCAGAUCCACUUCGUUCGAUUCUGGGAGAUCUAGCUACUUGAUAGUUAAGGCUAAGAGCAUCUCCAGCCGCGCCCCCAGCACCCCCCCUCCAAGGCGAUUUUUUUGCGCCGACGCCUAAAAAACGGCUCAGUCACGCCCCCCGGAGCCCAUUUUUUGCCGGCUUGGACCGAAAUUAGCGCCGGCGGACUCAGGCCGAACCCGGCACGCUGGGGGGCGCCCCGGGGCAAGCGGUUUUUUGCGUGAAAGAGCUGCGGGCCUGCCGAGUCAGCGACGAGCGCCUCGUCGUCAUUGAAACGCCUCGGUUUCCCGCGUGGAAUCAAUGGCAAGGCUGCCGCCGGUCAGCCUUGCCAUUGAUUCCUCACGGGCGGCGCGUCACGGGCGGCACGGCGAUGCCUCCCCUCCCGCCACGCGUACACACGGCGUGGUUAUAUAAGCCGGUGGCCUCCCUCGCCUCUGGCCACACCAGCCCACACCCGCCCAUCGACUGCCGUCGAGCUCUCCCUCGCUCGGCCGUGCGCAGCCGCUCGCCGACGUUUCUUCCCUUCCCUCUUCCUCUCUCCCGAGCCCGAUGGCCGUGCGAUUCCCUGGCGACGCGGCGACGGCCAACAGCUUCGGCCGCCGCUCGCUCCACGAGUGGGAGGCCUGGCUACUCUUCAAGGCGAAUAUCCCGACGCCACCAGACAUGCGCACCGGGCCGACGGGGUGGAGGCUCAGCAACGGGGGUGUGCCCAUUCCCCCGGUGCCCGACGUCGAGGCGCGCCCCGCCUUCUUUGCCGCCGAGGUCAACCGUGUGCGAGCUUCCCUGACGGAGGAGCAGCUCGCCCUCCCCCAGUACACCGCCGACAACCACGCGUCAUGGCGGCGUACUUCCAGCACCAUCGUGGGCGGUGUCCACCAACGGGGCGCCGGUGGUGGGCGGCGUCAAGAACGGCGAGGGGCGCCGUGUAUGGUGGGGCGCCCUGGGACGCAUGCUCCACGACGUGCUGGAGCACCUCGAGGGCGGCAACAACCCGCCGCUGGCAUACCCUGCCACGGCAGGCGCCCCGGUCCACCGCCGGAGCGCCGGGCAAUGGAUACCCAGGAGGUUCGGUUCCUCCUCAACUUCCUCCUCCCACUCCUCCUCCCGCUCCUUUUCCCAUUCCUCCGGCUCACCGGCGGUGUUCAGCGUCAAGGCCGAGCCUGCAGCGGAGACGCCGCUCGGCCAAGGCACUCGCAGUGCCGACAUCGUCAUAAAUGAGGGUGGCCGGCGUGCCUCCUCCUCGGCUCCUCUGUGCUUCGUCAAACCAAAAACAGAGCGGGGGCUCGCCGUCGUGAAAACGGAGCCGGGGCUCCCCUCCGCAAAGACGGAGCACGGCGCCGGGGAGCUCGACGAGGCGGCGGCCCUGAAAUGGGCGCGCGAUGACUGGGUGCACAUGGAGAUGGAGCGCCAGCGCCACGCCCUAGAGCACUUCGAAAAUCGGCGCCGGGGCCGCGACGAAGGAGGCGUCGCCGUGACAACCACGGCGCGCCGCCACCGCCACCGGUCCGCUAAGGCGACGCCGGGCAGGGGUCCAGCAGGGGCGGCCGCGUCAAGGAGGAGAAGGCCGCCGACGACGACGGCGAGGAUGGCGGCGGCGGCGGCGACUUCACCGUGCUCAGCGACUUCUUCGGCCCGUAGUUGUAGUUCCGGCCUUUUUUUAAUAAAUUUGCUAUGUAAAAUGUUGAAUAUGUCUAAUAUAUGCCAAGUUAGCCGAAUUUUAGCCGAACUUUGUCGAAUACUAUUUUUUUACAUAAACGGCGUUUGGGGGCGGUCCUGGGGUCGGCGGCUGGGAACCCACUCGCCCCCAGGCCGAUUUUUUGCGCCGGGGCGCCCCAUGCGACGAUUUUACGCGCCACCUGGGGGGCCAACGGCUGGAGAUGCUCUAACGCUUGAUAUCAGAGGCGGGUUCUAGCGACCAUGUCUGGCAAAGUGACCCUCAGCUCAAUGGCCUUGGGUAAAACAACCUCGAGCAAUGCAACCCCAAGUCCACUAGCUCUAAGCACAGCGAACAUAGCAGCCCUGCGCUCACCAACCAUGGAUACCCCAAGCGAGGUGUUGCCAGUGUAGUUUGCAACUCCACCGACAACACAGUCAGACUAGCUCGACGUCAAUGAUAGUAUCGGUGCCCUACACCGUUACCAUCAUAUCGAUGACCUUCUCACUGAGCUGCCAUAAUUGGUGGAGAAUCUCGAUGACGAUGAGGUGCCGCAUCUGAUGGCCGGCGAGGAGCUGACCACGUUCGUCGAAGUAGAAUGUGAAAACUACUGGCGUUGCUCGAUGCUGGAUGAUCUGUCGUCGAUCGACGACAAUGCUACCUGGACACUCACCAUGCUGCUUGAAGGGCAUCGAGCUAUUGGGCUCAAGUGAGUGUUCAAGGUAAAGAAGGACGAGCAUGGCGUCAUCAUCAAGAACAAGACCCGACUCGUCGCAAAAGGGUUUGUGCAAUGCACAGGGAUGGACUUUGAGGAAGUCUUUGCACUUGUGGCAAGGCUUGAGUUCAUUCGAAUAACCCUUGCCCUCGCGGAACAUCAAGGCUGGGAGGUCCAUCACUUGGACGUCAAGUCGGUGUUCCUUAGCGAUGACCUCGAGGAGGAAUUCUAUGUCUCCCAGCCACCUAGCUUCAUCGUCGUAGGAUGCGAGCAGGGCGUGUACAAGCUACACAAGGCUAUGUAAGGUCUCCAGCAAGCACCAAUGGCGUGGAACGCCAAGCUGGACGUAAGCUUGGCCUCACUCAGCUUAACUCAUAGCGCCUCCCGAGCACGGUGUGUAUGCACACGGGACCGGUGACACACCGCUCAUCGUCAGCAUCUUAUUCAUCGAUGGCCUCGUCAUCGCUGGUACCAAGCACAUCAAGGUACUCCACUUCAAGGAGGAUAUGAAGCACCACUUCAACUUGAGCGACCUCGGUCUGCUCCGGUACUAUCUUGGACUGGAGGUGAAGCAGGAGCAUAGUUGCACGAUGGUCACGCAAGCUGCCUACACCACCAAGAUGCUUCGAUAGAGCAGGAAUGAAGGAUAGGCAUGCCGUGCAAGCCCCGAUGGAGGCACGACUCAAGCUCAGCAAGGAGAGCCCCGAGAAGCCGGUGGACGUGACAUUCUACCGCAGCAUUAUCAAGAGCCUCAAGUAUCUCGUGCAUACCUGGUCUGACAUCUUGUCCGUUGUCAUGUACCUAAGCAAGUUUAUGGAGGCUCCAGCAAGUGACCAUCUCGCAGCCAUCAAGCACAUGCUCCGGUACAUCGCGGACAUGAUCACGCAGGGAUGGGUGUAUCGCCAUGACGGCGGCGAGAACCUGGUGGGCUACUGCAACAACGACAAUGCAGGGAAACUGGACUCCAGGAAGAGUACCUCUGGCAUGUUGUUUUUCCUCGGGAGUACGUAGCCCCAUCAGCUGCCAAUCAGUGAGGCAUAAGGUUUUCGCAACUCCUUCGUGUGAGACGGAGUACAUUGCGGCAACUAUAGCGGCAUGUCACGGAAUAUGGCUGGCUCGCCUCCUCGACGAGAUGCUGAAUUAAGACGCUGCUCAUCCGCUCGUCUUUGUCGACAACAAAUCUACAAUUUCCCUCUACCAGAACCCAGUGCUUCACGACCACAGCAAGCACAUCAAUCUCCGUAUCACUUCAUACGUGAGUACAUCAAGAAGGGCAGGAUGGCCGUGGAGUUCAUCAGGACUGGUGAGAAGAAGGAGGAUAUCCUGGCAAAGGCUACUGGUCGUGUCUUGUUCUUUUUAGAACAUAGACGUCAGGGACGUCCGGCUUUAAAUUAAUAAAGCCCACAACAUAGGCAGCGUGCAUAACAAACAAACCAACAUUCGGAACCACAAACUAGUCUCGCAGGGUCUAAGAGCACAGCACUUAAGAAAACGGCGGCGAAAUAUAGUGCAUUACAAGGCACAACCGGCCUAGCAAACGAGCACGCAGGCUCGGAGGAAACUCGACCAAAAGGGGUUGCGCAUCCCUAUGAGGCAGCAGACGCGGGCGAUGGAGCUCGAGACGCCGAGUAGACGGAACAAAGGCGUACAAGAGUUUGGCGAUGAAGAUCAGAGUCCUGUUGUCUUCCCAGCGGGGCCCAUUGCUGCAAGAACACGAUGCAUUUGAAGAUAACGUCAGCAGGGUGGGAGGGAAACACUCCCUCAAUAGUAAACUUGUUACGAGUAUGCCAUAGAGCCCAUAACAUGGCCGCCGCACAUGUCCACAUGACCCAGCGAGAAGGGCCAUGGACCAAGGACAGAGAGGACACCAACUCGGAGCGGGAGCGUGGAUCCCAAUCCACGCCCGCGGCCUCACGAACCGCGCUCCAGGCAAAAUGCGCCAAAGAGCACUGGAAGAAAGCAUGGUCCGCAUCCUCCGGGACACCACACAAAGCACAAGGACCGAAGGCGGGACCAUUGCGUUUAGCUAUAUUGAUAGAGGUAGGAAGGCGAUCUUGGCAAAGUUGCCAGAGGAAGACCUUGAUCUUGAGCGGAAUUUUAGCCUUCCAAAGCCCCGUGACAGCCAAAGGGACUUGACCGCGGGAUAGCUCUCUAUAGAGGGAAUUGACAGUGAAUUUGCCAGAGCCCGUGUCUUGUUCCAAGAGCUGCGUGACAAGGUCGGGACCGUCAACAUCCAACCCGAUCGACAGGGCUGAGGGGGACACUAUGGACUUCACCCCUGUCUCCAAACACGUGGGCAGCAAAUACUUAGAUGGUAACUAACUUAGGAAGGAAGUAGACUGGUGCAAGGAACUUGACCGGAAUUUGUUUUAGCUGUACAUGCCAGAGUAGUUUCUAGUGUAGAUAGGAAGAUGUUGUGCAUGUUCGUGGUAGUAGUCACGUAAGUACCAUUCCCGGGUCCUAUAAAAGGACAUGUAUCCAUCUCCUGUGAAGACAGGCAAUUUAGCUUAAAAACCACUGGUAGCACUACGUGAGCAACAUCUCCGGUGCGUGUGUGUGCAUUAGUGUACAACUCUGGUGUUCAUCCGUCCUAGUAGGAAUAUUUCUCUGAUCCACUUCGUUCGAUCCCGGGAGAGCUAGCUAAUUGAUGGUUGAGGCUAACAAGAACAACUAUGUGGAUAAUGUGGCCAUGUAAAAGCGUCGCCGAAAUAGGUAGGCAAGAUAGGUACAACAGGCACAAAGUAUUCGUCUAUUAGCCAAUUAUGACCGUAGACUCUAUUCCGGUGAAAUGUCAAACAACCCAUGUGCAAUCUCGCUCGCUUCAUCUUCGUUUUGGUUGACAGUAUCUAUUGAGCAACCAUCAACACAAUCGCAUCAUCUUUGACUGUCCAUCACCUCACUCCUAGACUCGUCGCUCGAAAACGACGAUGAAUCGCCAAUAAACUCCUUGGUCUCCAACUACCAAAAUAUAUGUCAUCUACACGAUUCUACGAGGCACUAGACUGGUAUACAUUAACAAAAUUUAAGAAAAAAAUACCUUCAGGCAAGUCGGCGAACACCUUUAAGUUGGGUGCCGGAGAUGUUGCAUGUGACACGGGAGAUGGAGUUGGCGACGACGAACGGUCGGCUCAUGACGCCGCCCUCCUCAGCAAUCCAUUAAAGGGUGGAUACAAGGUAGAGAGAUGCUUGCAUGGAUAUCUCAUGGCGCGACCAUGGUGGGAAGUAGAAACGGGGUGCGGCGAAGUAUGGUAGGUACGGGAAUGACUCGGUGGAGGUGAGUAGGGCCAAAUCAUGGUGGUUCGAGCAAAGGUGGCAGCAAACAGUGGUGGUGCGGAGAAGUGGGCGGCUGCGUAAGGAGGCGCACGUCCUGAAAUGUCUGUGGCACUAAUACUUUGGUCCAUGAAGGAAGCGCUAUACAUCCCCUCCACUUAUGGAGGCUCGCGAGCUCGAUUUAAAAUAUUUUGGUGGAUGAAGGGAGCGAUAUACUCCCCCCUCCAAUUAUGGAGGCUCGCGAGCUCCAUUUAAAGCAGCCUUGUGAAAGAAAGACGAUGAAGGGCGGAAUAACGACAUUGUCUCACUAUAGAGAGACCGAAUGUUCCCUCGCCUCAAGCGCUCCCUGAAUGAACCAACCCAACGCAGAAGGAGCAUUGGCUCGCUAGUGCUCGUAUUUUACUUUUUCUGUUUGGUUACUUUUACUUAUAUUUUAAAAUGCAAAAAUAUUUUACUUAAAUAUUUGAAAAUGUUCACUGCACAUUGGAAAAAGGUCAACACAGUGUGAAUGUUUCGUUCGCGCAACUUUUAAAAAUGUUGAUAGCAUUCAAAAAAUGUUCGUGACUUUCAAAAGUUGUUCAAGCAUUUCAAAAGUAAUGUUCGUGACAAUGUAAAAAAUGUUCACGUAAUUAAAAAAAGUUUCAUGCCAUUUGAAAAAUGUACGUGACACUUCAAAAAUUUCUUCAUGCUUUCCAAAAUAUGUUCAUGACAUUUAGGAAAACAUUUAUGCAAAAAAUAUAUGUGAUGUUUAAAAAACUGUUAGUACCAUUCAAAAAAAAUGUUUGCAACAUUGUAAAAAAAUGUUCACGCAUUUCUAAAAAUAUGUAUGUGGCAUUUUUAGAAAAAACCAUACAUUCUAUAAAAAUGUUUUGUAUCAUUCAAAAAAAGUUCAACAUACAUUUGAAAAUAUUUAACAUUAAUUCAAAAAAUGUUCAAGCAUGUAUUUGUGAACAAAUGUUGAUCAUUUACUUUAAAAAUGUUCAAUGUGUAUCAAAAAAUGUUACAUGUAUAAAAAAUGUACUACAUGCAUUGAAAAAGUAAACAUGUAUUUGUAGAAAAUAAAAAUAUAAAAACCAAAAAAAGGGUAAAGAAACACCAAAAAAAGAAAAACUGAAAACAAAGAAAAAUAAAAAUAAAAGAAAACCGAUAAAAAGGCAUCAUAACCGAAAACCGCAAGAAAAACAGAUGAAAACCAACACAGCAAGUAAAGAAAAAAAAAACUGGCUAAAAUCUUCUACCCCAGGAACUCAUAUUAGGCUGGCCCAUCUGUGCUACCAUAGCUCCUGCAGGAUGACGAUUCUGCUAGACCGGUUUUUUCAUCCAAAAUCACCAUACUUUUCUUUCUUAUUUUGUUGUUUUCGUCCAAAAUCAUCAUACCUUUUUCUUUUUUUUCCAAAAUCAUUAUACAGACGGUUAUUCUGGCUAUGAGACUGAUAUAUACUACAACUAUGUUAGAGUUGCUCUGACAUGCUGCUUGCAGAGCUUUCAGGUUUCUUGUAAUUAUUAUUUCUGUCUUGUAUAGAGCUUUUAGGCUUCUUGUAAUUAUCAUUUUCUCUCUUGUAUAAAAAAAUAUUGUAUAUCAUUGAUGUACUCUAAAAUAAACACAAGCGUUCAGCACGGACAUUUAGCUCCAGAACCAAAAAAGCAUGGCAGAAUGUGUGAUUACAAUGUCAUCGCAUUUUGAAUCCUACAAGACUGAAAAGAUAUUCGAUUAUUCGUAGGACAAAUACAGAAAUUCUUUCUGCAUAUGGCUCUUAGGCUCGUGCAGACGGCAUGUAUUUGUAGAAAAUAAAAAGGUAAAAACCAAAGAAAAUCAGUAAAGAAACACGAAAGAAAGAAAAACUGAAAACAAAUAAAAAUAAAAAUAAAAUAAAGAAAACCGACAAAAAGGCAUCAUAACCAAAAACCGCAAGAAAAACAGAUGAAAACCAACACAACAAGGAAAGAAAAAAACGCGGCUAAAAUCUGCCCUAUCUAAAUUCGCACACAUGGUAUAAACCAAGUAUUUUUCAAUUAGUUCCACAUGUUAUGUGCUGAAAAGAUUAUAAUAGCUUUAAAAAAAGAUUAAGACAUGUAUUAGAAAAUUUACAAAUAUCAUCAUGACAAGCAAAGUACAAUAAUAAAUAAUCAUGACAUACCGUUGUUAGCUUCCUUUGUUUGAGUUUCACCUUCACAUCAACUCCAUUAUCAAUUAUUCCAUGCAACACAACCUCAAUCUUUCCUUCAGUUUUGUCGCCUUUUCUAGGUGUAUAAAUUGCAUAGUGAAUAUCAUCCUCUAUCGCACGCCUCGCAAGUAACGUCCCAACCGCCACACAUGCCUUAAUACCCUUCCUUGAACCCAGAUCAAACUUCAUGUCCUUUGAUAUGGAGUGAGCCACGGACACAACCCUGCUGGUCAUUCGGUGAACGAAGCAAGCACGCACCCACCCCUUCGGGACAUGUAUGUCUAGGCAGAAAGGGUGGUGGUAAGGAUCAACCAUCUGGUUAAAGGUUGGCACUCGGUCCCUCUUCAACUCAACAAUGUCAUCCUUAUGAACUGCAGGCUUUGCUUUCAGCUUUGGAACCUUCAAACGGGCUGCAUUGUCAGGUUUCACCUUGCAAUCAGAUGGAUUCUUGGCAUUGGGUUUAUCUCUCUUCCAUCUGCGGUGCAAGGGCAAGUUAUAUUCCUCAAACUCCUUGGACCCUCCGUCCAGCUUGUAGAACAGCUUCUUGCGGUUCCUCGUGUCAUCUGUCUCAUCAUCCAAGCCGUGCACUUAUUCUUAUCCAUGUUCUUGGAAGUCAAGACACUCAACACCCGGCGUGGGGUCUAAGGAGAAGCCAAUGGAUGCGGGCCAGAGGUUGGAGUCAACAAUAUCAAUUUGGAAGCCGACGCCAAGUGGGAUGGAAUCUGAGCAAUGCAAGGUUUGGGGCAGAUGAAUUUGUGUAGAAGAGUGGUAGGACGGCAUGACCGAGGCUAUGUAUGGUAGAAUAGAGAGCGAGCGGAAGAUAUGAAGGAGCACUAACAGCUGCGAGGUGGCUGAGACCACUUGAAAGAUCGUGGAUGUCUCCUAGAGGGGGGGGGGUGUGAAUAGGCACUUUAAAAUAAUUACGGUUUAGACUUGAAAAAUGUGGAAUAAAACUAGUGCUUAAUUUGUCAAGCACAAAACCUAAAACAACUAGGUUCAUCUAUGUGCACCAACAACUUAUGCUAAGAAAGAUAAACAACUAAUUGAUAGCCAGAUAUAUAACAUGAAACACUAUGGCUAUCACAAAGUAAAGUGCAUAAGUAAAGGGUUCGGGUAAGAGAUAACCGAUCCAUGUGUAGACGAUGAUGUAUCUCAAAGUUCACACCUUUGCGGAUGCUAAUCUCCGUUUGGAGCAGUGUGGAUGCACAAUGCUCCCCAAAAUGCCAUUAAGGUCACCGUAAUCUCCUCACGCCAUCGCACAAUGCAUUAUGACGUGAUUCCACUAAGGGACCCUUGAGGGCGGUCACCGAAUCCGUACAAGUGGCAACCCUUGGGGGGGGGGGGUAGUCACCGAACCCUUACACUUUAGUAACCCUUGGGGGCGGUCACCGAAACCCGUACAAAUUGCUCGGGGCAGUCUCCACAACUUAAUUGAAAACACCGACGUUUGUCCCGGAGCUUUCCACCACAAUAAUUGAGCUCCGCGACACCAACAACCAUUUAGGGCGCCCAAGCACCCAAGAGGAACAAGCUCUAGGGUACCAACCAUCCAAGAGUAAUAAGCUACUCAACUUCACUUCCAUGUAUCACCAUGGAGAACUCAAACAUAUGCACCAAAUGCAAUGACAAGGGAAAACGGAGUGCCCACCAAUGGCAGAGACAACAGGGGACCAGCAAGGGCCAAGGCCCGGGCCAACAUGCCAAAAAAAAUUUAGAGCAGCGUUUUUUUCCAGAAGUUGUGUGUUAUGCUGUUCUGGGCCUUGUGGCCCUCCCUAACGGAUGAGCAACAAGAAAAGUGGCACAAUGAAUCAUGUACAAGGGUUGACUUUUCCCUAGUGUCAUUCUAUCCCAAAAGCCACCCCGGCUCCCAGCCACACGUGAUUCCUCUUCCCACCUUUCCCUUUCCUUGGUCCCCUGCGGUACAGCCUUUGCUCUGAUCAUCCAUGGAGAUAAACCACUAGCCCCCAAAUCUCCUAAAUCUUUCUAUUUGCUCUCUCUUGUGGCUGCUGCAGUGCCGCCGGCUGGCUGGACGACUCAUCUUUCUUCAAGACGCUGCAAGCACACAAGAAGAGGCAUAUAUUCUUGAUUUGAGAUCCCUCUUUCUCUGCCUCACAUAUCUGAAAUUUGUUCUAUAAUUUUUGUUUGCCUUUUCAAUUCUCUAAAUUGGAUAGUCUUAUAGUGGUUCGUGUUCAAUUCUUCUAGGGUAAUCGGUUGUCUCCAUGGCCAAAAAUAAAAGAAAGCUUGCAACACUGCAUUCUUUUUUUGAGAAGAAAAGAAGAACUGAUGUUCUAGAACAGAUUAAUUUGGUUGAUGCCCCUGCCUUGGUAAAUGAAGAAGAACAAGUAGAUGAACAAGAACAAGUAGAAGAAACUCCAAUAUCAACAGCACCACCUCAGAUUAUGAGAGGAAGAGGCAAUGAUGAUGCCGCUGUUUUGGUGGUAGAAAGAGAACCAAGUCCACGGUGCCAAAAUUCAGAUUAUCCUCCUAACGAUCAAGAAAAAGCUCGAAUGGCAUAUAUACAACAUGGGGCAUAUCAUUUUAAAAUGGAUGAGUAUCCUCCCGAUGAGUCGGUGACCCAUCCACGCAAGUUUCAGUAUCAUUGGUUUAAGAGCUUCCCUUGGUUAGUAUUCACCAGAUAAAGAUGUAGUCUACUAUUUUCCAUGCUUUUUAUUUUGUAAGAAGCCACUCGGAAAGAAAGGGUCUGAUGUGUUUAUAGUGAAAGGAUUCAAAAAAUGGAAGAGAGUUAAUGACGGAUAGAGAUGUGAAUUCUUAACUCACAUGGAAAAGGACAGUAAAUCUGCUCACAAUUAUGCUGCAAAAUGUUAUGAUAAUCUGAAGAAUAAGCCAUGCCAUGUGGAACAAUUACUGGUGAAGCAAACAGAAGGGGAUAUCAAAAGGAAUAGGUUGCGGCUUAGACUAACCAUUGAUUCAAUACGGUGGUUAGCAUUCCAAGCUUGCCCCUUCCGAGGACAUGAUGGAAGUCUUGAUUCAAAGAACCAAGGUAAUUUCCUUGAAAUGGUGAAAUUGAUAGCUUCUUAUGAUGAGGAAAUUGGUGCUGUAGUGUUGGGUAAUGCUCCAGGCAAUGCUAAGUACACAUCGCCUACAAUUCAAAAAGAACUUCUAGGUAUCAUUGCUUCUAACAUGCAAAGUGAAUUUCGAAAAGAAAUAGGAGAUGCUAAGUUUUGCUUGCUUGUUGAUAAGUCAAGAGAUGAAUCCAAAAGAGAGCAAAUGGCAAUAGUGAUUCGUUUUGUUGAUAAACCUGGUUUCACUCGUGAACGUUUUCUUGAUAUUGUUCAUGUUGUUGAUACAUCUUCGGCUACCCUAAAAGAAGAGAUAUAUUAUGUUUUGGUUCAACAUCAGUUAGAUGUGAACAAUUUUCGCGGCCAAGGAUACGAUGGUGCUAGUAACAUGUGUGGAGAGUGGAAUGGACUACAAGCAAAGUUCAUCGAGGAGUGUCCUUAUGCAUAUUAUAUCCAUUGUUUUGCUCAUCAAUUGCAGCUAGCUCCUGCUGCUACAUCUAAAGAAGUAGCUGAUGUUCACAACUUUUUUGAUCAUCUUGCCCUUGUUGUCAAUACGGUUGUGUCUUCUAGUAAGAAAAACGAUGAGUUGCAAGCAAAUCAAGUUGCUGAAAUGGAGCAUCUGAUUGAGCUCGGCGAGCUUGAAACUGGAAGUGGGGCUAAUCAAGUCGGAACUUUACAACGGCCUUGUGACACUAGGUGGGGUUCACACCAUGCUUCUGUUUGCAACCUUGUGAAAUUGUACAAACCAACAUUUUUGGUACUUAAAAGCAUCGCAACUUCUAAAGGAUCAGGUACUUCACCUUCCGCACGAGCAAAGGCUUCUGGUGUUGUUAAGUUGAUGAUGUCAUUUGACUUCAUAUUUAUUCUGCAUGUCAUGAAAGAACUUAUGGGAAUCACACACAUGCUAUGCAAAAAGUUGCAACAGAAGUCUUAAGAUAUUGUGAAUGCCAUGGAUGAUGUUAAGACUACCAAAAUGUUGAUCCAGGAGCUAAGACAUAAUGGUUGGAACAAGCUUAAAGUUGAUGUGCUUUCAUUUUGUGCAAAACAUGGAGUUCAAACACUGCCUUUAAGUGAUUUAUAUGUGGACUUCAUCAAUUCUCGUGUGGAGGACGAGACUACAGUUGAGCAUCAUUAUCGCCGUGAAAUUUUCAUGGUUGUUGUUGAUCAGCAACCAUAAGAGCUGAAUUGCAUAUUCAACAAACAAGUAACAGAGCUUCUCAUCCUAUGUGCUUCCUUGGACCCAAAGGAUUCAUUCCGUUCAUUUAACAUUGAUAAUAUAUAUUCUUUGGCUUCAAAGAUCUAUCCUACUGAUUUUAAAGAACAAGAAAUGAAUAAUCUUAGAUGUCAGUUACAACAUUAUGAGAAUGUUGUACCCACAAGCCCAAAUUUUCAGAAUUUGACAACUAUAUCGGAACUUUGUCGACAACUUGCAUCUAGUGGAAAAUCAGAUGAAAUAUUACUUAAUUGAUAGGUAUCUAAUGUUCUCUGCUGCUAGCCUGCUAUAUUGGUUUGAUUUAUUUAUUGCUAAAAUUACUAUCUACUUCUUAAUGAACAGACUCAUUCGGCUUGUUCUUACUUUACCGGUUUCAACGGCAACGACAGAAUGUGCAUUUUCUGCCAUGAAACUUGUGAAGACAAGGCUUCGGAAUAAAAUGGAAGAUGGAUUUCUAAGGGAUUGCUUACUAAUUUAUAUUGAAAAGGAGAUUGCUGUUGGAAUAGCAAUAGAUGCAAUUAUAGACGAGUUCGAUGAACCAACACGUCGAGUGGCAUUUAGUUGAAGGCCUAAAGCAACUUAGUUUCUCUAUCUUUCUAUUGUCUAGAUUUUUCUUUUGUGUGAUGUACAAUUCAAAAAUUGCAUAUCCGGUAGUUAUCGGCGAUGAAUGGUGGUGUAAUCAAUGAAAAAUAUUUUGCUAUUACAUCUGUUUCGCUAUUUUUUUUGGCAAAAAAAUUGUACAAAAGUGUUGUCCCCUUCAGUCGGCCCAUGUUAUACAUUUUUCCUGGCUUCGCCACUGGUGCCCAAGUCCUUCUCUCUCAAAUCCCACCCAACAACUAAUGCUAUGGAGGAAAAUGAGAGGAAGAAUGAAGAAGAGAACACAAAGAACUCCAAGAUCUAGAUUCAAGGGGUUCCCCUCACAUAGAGGAGAAAGUGAUUGGUGGAAAUGUAGAUCUAGAUCUCCUCUCUCUUUUUCCUCAAAAACUAGCAAGAAUCUUUGGAGGGAUUAAGAUAAAGCAAGCUCGUAGAUGGUCAAGAAUGGGGGUAAAACACGAGCUCAAAGGAUUAUGUCCAUUGGGGAAGAAGACCCCUUUUAUAGGUGGGGACAAAUCCAACCGUUCUGCUCUCAGCCCGCACACAAGCGGUAUUACCGCUUGGGGCGGUAGUUCGAGGUGUAUGAUUGAGAGAACGCAAGUCCAGGUGUGGUAGUGCUGUCGGAACGGUACUACCGUCCUCACAAGCGGUACUAUCGCCAGGACACAGAGAACCAGCGGUAGUAGAGGAAGGGUAGGACGGUAGUACAGCAUAAAGCGGUACUACCGCACCCUACUACCGCUCUACUACCGUGGAGGCUGCAAGGGACUACAGAAGCAAAGAGAUAAGCGGAAGUGUGACGAUAGUUGCCAGCGAAAGUACCACGACAAGUGGUACUACCGUUGGUAGGUGCGGUGGUACCGUCUGAAACAGUACUACCGUGCCCAAUUGCCGUCGAAGCGAAAUGAGUCCAAUAGUCCACAAACAAGCGGUACUGCCUGCGGCACUGGACUGCAGAAGUACCGAUCAAGCGGCACUACCGCUACCUAGAGUGGUAGUACCGCUAGAGUGCAAUAAAAUAGCCUAGGCAAAACAGAUGGAUGCAAGAAAACCAUAACUGCCAUAACUUCUGCAAAUGAGCUCUGAAUACAACAAACUCAAGCUUGUUGGAUAGAUCAUAGAUGACAACAAAUAAUAUCCAACAGCGACUGGUUAUAGAGGUAUGCCUAUGAUAUAGAGGUGUGAAACCUCUAUCAAUGAAGAACCGACAUAAACUCCAAUAUCGAAAACAUCAUAGAAGAUGCAUAUGAACUCCGUUUUCGAUGAACUCGAGCUUGUCAUGAAGAUGACCAUAAGCUCUAAACCUCAAAAAGAGAAACACCAAACAAGAACCAAGAAAGCUGAUGCAAGGAUGCAAUGGUUUGAGCUCUCUACGAACGAUACGAUCAAGCUACUCACUUGAGAGUCCCCCUUGAUAGGACGACAAUCGAUCUUACAACCCGGUCUCCCAACUACCACCAUGAGACCGACGGAAUAGGAAACCUAUCAAGGGCAAAAAAUUUCCUGGCACAUAGUCCACUUGAGCUAGAUGAUGACGAUCUUGACUUCCUCAAGGUGGACCACCUUGAUUGUGUUGGCUCGAUGAAGACUAGUUGAUUGCUCCCCCAUACUCCACUAUGGGUGAGCCACUCAUCAACACAUCUUCACAAGUCUAUUGUCACCACAAUGAACGACAAGCUUCAAGCAUGACCUCUUCAUGAUGCUUCACUUAAACUUGCACACCGCAAUCUUGAUGACGAUCACCACUUGAUGUCAUCCUCCAUGGGAUGCAUGAGAUCUUCCUCUUGACGCAAACUCAUGGAAACAUACCUAACCCUCACAUAGAACUCUCAUGUAGACCAUGGAUUAGUACACAAAAGCGUAAUGGAUAGUGCUUACCAUACCAUGGGAUCACUUAAUCCUUCUCGCUACAUCUUGUAAGCUUUGUGUGUUGAUCAACUUGAUUCAUUGUUUGACUUAGUUUUGAUCAACCUUGUAUCAUGUCUUCUCUCUAACCAAUCUUUAGAUAAUUCCUUGAAUAGCACCUUGGUCAUCACAUAAUCUCUUUGAAACCAUCAAAUGGACUUCAAGAAUGCCUAUGAAAAAACCCUUCAAAUAUAACUCAAGGCAACCAUUAGUCCAUAAAGAUUGUCAUCAAUUAUCAAAACCAAACAUGGGGGCACAAUUCUCUUCCACCACUGUUGUCGCGCUUGGAGAAGCAUGUGUCGUACUGGCAUUUGCGCAAGCACCCUACGGCUAAAAUGCAUCGAUACAGAUAAGUAUUAGGCCAAUACGCCUUUCGUAUCACUGGGAGCUACAUGCACAUGCAAUUUCAAUACCUUCCUAGCAUAUGUAUUGAAACAUAAAUUAAUUUUAACUUCAAACCCAGAAAAUGAAAUCUUGUGUAACAUUGCUAAUGAGCUUGACUAGGUGAAAACCAAAAGUAUGAUUGACUUGGCUAAUAGGGCACACAUAAUUGCAGGAGAAAUUAUAUGAAUAAACAAGAAACCAACAACUUCUCUUGUGUUCACAAUAGCAAAUCUGAGAAAAAGUUACAGAGAGGCUUGCAGCAUGGCAUAACACGAAAGGUGGAACCUGAAGAUCAAUCACCCAACAUGCAAAAGGAGAAACAACGCAAAAACAUUACCGACCAAUGCUCCUCCUCUUUCCAAUGCAAGUUUCUCGCAAUGGCAAAAUAAUGAAGAUACUAGCAGGUCAUUGUUUCCCUCAAGUUUUGGUUUCCUGACAGCAUUGAUCGACUAGUGACAGACAGCGAUGAGCUGUUGGAAGAUAUCAUCAGGUUCUCACUACCUCUACAACACUUGAUCCAGCGCCGACAAAGGGCAUAUGAGGGCAGGUGUUGCCGGCUCUGUUGCUCUCUUCAGAUCUUGAAAAUUAGUGUGUUAAUCAAGUGAAGCAGUCGGCGGGCUGUUGGUGAGGCGACUUGGAACGAUGUUGAAGUAUUGCAAGCAUGUGCACCGUGAGGUGAUGCUCCAACUAUUGUUUCUUCAGCUGUUACUAGAUCUUGUGUCUAAUGGCGAGUGCCUAUCACGUCAUUUAUAAAUCCUAAAAUGGCGAUAGCUUUUACAAUUGUCUCUUUUCUUUACAGUUUUUCUUUUUAGUUUUUACAGUUGGUUAAGUGCAACGUCCAUGCUCCGACAAGCGCAACAUCAGUAGCCCACGCGAAAUCCUAGCAUGAGCCUUAAUCAAUAGCGCACGUUAUAGAUCCGACGGUCCAUGAUAUGAGUUUUCAAGUUUUCAUUGAUCCGUCCGCUUUCACGUCAUACUUUUUUUACCUCCUACCACGAGACGAGAAGAGAGGCAAAGGCCGACUUGUCAACGAAACCAUGAUUCAAAAAAAAAAAAGUACUUUCUUAGUCCCAAAAAGCAUGCAGCGUGUGCCUCUGCAUUUUAUUACUUGUCUCUCGGUCAACAGCACGCCCUGACACGGCCCAGCUACGACGAAACACUCACCGCGCGACAGCCGUCGAUCUAUCGAUCUGGCGGACAAUCGUCGCGGCAACAAGAUUACAAGAGUGGAAAGCCUCCCUGUCCCAGUCAAACCAACUUCACCUGGAAAAAAACCGGGCUGGACCUGCCGAGCGCCGAUGGUGACCGAUCUAGCUAGCUGGACGUUAC